rnacentral:lncRNA from 1 species
AGCUUGACGACGUCCUCGUGCGAAGCCUUGGAGACGUUUAUGUCGUUCACGGACAGGAUGUGGUCACCGGAGCGGAGACCCACGUAGUCCGCCGGACUUCCUUUUAGAAUGCAGUUGAGGACACAGGGGCCCUGGCCAGAGAGGGUGAACCCAUACCCUGCCCUCCCCGGGCCACCUCCACCCCCCGGAUACGCCCACCCUGGUGGGGGUGAGGAGGCGAAGGUAAGGUUGUGAGACCCCCAUGACCUCCAUGACGUCUCUUGGACGAGGUGUCCGUCUGUCUGAACAUUGUUUUGACUCUUGUUCUGUUAUUCAAUGUUAUUUAUCCAACCCUUAUGUUACCAGGUAAGUUGACUGAUGUUAUUUAUCUAACCCUUAUGUUACCAGGUAAGUUGACUGAUGUUAUUUAUCUAACCCUUAUGUUACCAGGUAAGUUGGCUGAUGUUAUUUAUCCAACCCUUAUGUUACCAGGUAAGUUGACAUGUUAUUUAUCCAACCCUUAUGUUACCAGGUAAGUUGACUGAUGUUAUUUAUCCAACCCUUAUGUUACCAGGUAAGUUGACUGAUGUUAUUUAUCCAACCCUUAUGUUACCAGGUAAGUUGACUGAUGUUAUUUAUCUAACCCUUAUGUUACCAGGUAAGUUGACUGAUGUUAUUUAUCUAACCCUUAUGUUACCAGGUAAGUUGACUGAUGUUAUUUAUCCAACCCUUAUGUUACCAGGUAAGUUGACUGAUGUUAUUUAUCCAACCCUUAUGUUACCAGGUAAGUUGACUGAUGUUAUUUAUCCAACCCUUAUGUUACCAGGUAAGUUGACUGAUGUUAUUUAUCCAACCCUUAUGUUACCAGGUAAGUUGACUGAUGUUAUUUAUCUAACCCUUAUGUUACCAGGUAAGUUGACUGAGAUCAUAUUGUAAUUUGGGCCUACAACAACAACCAGGAAAGAGGAGAGUGGUUGAAAAGACUGAUGUGACUUUUGUACUCUCAGUUCCAUUCAAUGAGCUUUACUGGCAUGGUAAGUCAAUGAGAUGUAUUGUAAAAGAGAACUGUUGUUUCUUUUGAUGAGGCUUAAUCCCUCUCCUCUCCUCCCUUCUUUUUCCCUUCUUCUCUAUCCUCUCUCUCUCUCUCGUUCCACUGUCAAGGGCUGUCUGUCUCCCUCUAAGGCUUUUCCUCCCUCUCUCGUUCUAGUACUGAGGGAUUUGUCAGGAUGGUGAGAGCAUGACGUCAGCCCCUCCACUCCAACGCCAGCCCUGCCAUGCUGGUGCCACUCUCUGAGGAUGAUGUGACUUGUCACAGGUC